UGAUACGAGCCCAUUGGGUCAAGCUAGUGACGUUAAAGAAGCACUUGCUGGGAGGCAACUCAGUUCUUUGAACUUCUAGUUUGAAUUUUUAUUUUUGGUUUUAAUUUUUGUUCUAUUCCAUUUUAUUUUAUUUUUUUGUGUGCUAUGCUUGAAUGAAAUGAAUUUUGAUUCAACUAUGCCUGUUUUCUGUGAUGGGUUUUGCUUUAUGAGAUUAUAUUGUUUGAUU
rnacentral:lncRNA from 1 species